AUGAUUGCCCACUUAGUGUUUGAACUUAAUC
rnacentral:misc_RNA from 1 species